CGUCUAAGUAUUACAAGAGAAGUCAUGGCGUGCAAAGAGAUUCAGAGCUUGCGAGCGAACGCGCGGCGGUAGAAAACUCGGGGCAGCCACACUUGGGCCCUGCAAUAGCUUCCGUUACCCAACCUAGCUGAGCUCGGGACGGAUCAAAAUCGUGGAUACUGGAGCGAAGACACUUUGCAGAUGAAGUCUCUGGCGGUAGCAUGGAUCGCUUGCAUAUGCACAGCGUAUGUAGCAGGUCUAGCCGGGGAUAAAGGCAUACUUCCCGACUACAGCGGCUUCAUCCGAGUCCAAGGGGGCAAGUUUGUGGACGCAGACUGCAACCAAUUCCCUGUGACAGGGCUCAAUGCGUGAGUUACAAGUCCCUCUCAGCUGCUUACGACGGUGAUCAGGGCAGCCAGAUGCCGUUUGUUCGUUCCGACAUAUUUGAGGGCUUGGCGCUGAUCUCAAGAACCUUCCGAAGGGAGGGCGUCAUAGGGGGCGACGUUUGUUGAGAUGCCGUGCUCAUCGGCAAUAUGAUGGUAUGCAGAAUCAUUACAAGAGUGUGUGGCCUUCCCACACUCCGGGCGUGCGAUUAUAGGCUUGUUCGUUACUUCCCACCACCCAUCAUCGCUGCUUUCGAAAACAUGAACCGGGGUGAUCAAACCUCUUUUGGGCGUCGUUUGAUGACGUUUUAUGUCCACAGCGUUGCGCAGUGCUGUGUGACAGUGAAGGGAUGAGACACACAAACACUUCAGCUCGUCAUGGCAUUUGCCUGCCCUAACAGCACUGCUUGGGCUCCUGGCAUUCCUCUGUCAGUCGCGGCAGCGCACUGACCUGCUUCCAGACUUGCCAGGACACAAGGAUGCAGCUGCAGGGAGCAUAUGCACCAUGUGAUUACAGACAGUUGGCAGGCCGUCUCUGAGGCCCCUUGUCAGCCUGCACUUCUGGUGUCAUGUUUUCAUACCUGACAAUUAGAGCAUCUAUAGUUGUUGAGCAAGGCUGCGGCCCUGCGCAAGGUCCAGACCAGUGAGCUGCAGCGCUUGCAAGACCAGCAAGGGGCGAGGGGCUCUAGGGGUCAAUUUCCUGCAGCCGGGGAAGCUAGGCAGAAGGGGCGAUCAGGCAGCCGACACCUGCACGCAGCACAGCCACCCACCAACUUGAAAGAACACAGAAGGUCACGAUUAACAAGAAGGAAUGUGAGCUACAGGUGGCAAAGAAAGCACGCAGCACAGCCAAAAGAACAGAUAUGCGAGGAAUAAACAAGAGGGGAUGUGCGGUGCAGGUGGGACAUGAUGGAAUGUGGAGCAGGCUUCACAUAUGAUGCAGACACAAACCUGACCGGCCCCGAGGCGAUCCGGUUCACCUUCCAGGCAGCUGCCUCUAACGGGCUCACAGUUGUGCGCACCUUUGGACACGGCCACGAUGCCUUCAAAUCCAUCGUGCUGCAGCCCAGAGCAGGCG
rnacentral:lncRNA from 1 species